GCAGGGCCGGGGGAGGUGUCGCCCAGCUGCUGUCUUUGUUUUAUUUCAAAUCGGUUUGGUUUGUUUGUUGUUUGGGUUUUUUGGGGUUUUUUUUCUUAACGGGGAGGGGUCCUCUGGUGAGAAUGAGAUGCCCACAAGUUUGUGACCUGAUCAUUUAACUCCCUUGCAGAGACCCAUCUGAGUGGGUGUCUCGGCAAACAUCGGAUGUUGGUGGAGGAUGCAGUUUGGUCCCUGAAUGCAUUUUCUCUAAAUAUGUUGGCUCCAACCCUCCUUUGGUAGAGAAUAUCAACGGAUUUGCUAAUAUGCAGGAGACCGGUUGAUUCUCGUGGAUUUUUUCCCCUCCCAGAGAACAUAGCCCAGGAGCAUCCAUUCAGAUCAAAUCGAGGAACAAAGCUGCGAGAAACUGCCAAGCCCGUCUUGCAAGCUCGGAGCGGCCCCGCGGUCUCGUCCAGAGAUAACAUCAGAGCGCCCCCUGCUGGCCAGCAGAGUAGACCGCGGCGGGUCAGCCCCCUGCGAAGAGAAUCGUGUUUAUCUGCGCCCCCGACCUCCACCGACUCCUUCCCCACCCCGCCUUCGUUCUGCUGCGGAACACCUAUUCAGGCGAAAGGCUUGUCAAGGCUGAACAUUUGAAUGAAUAAAUGAUAAAAAUAAUAAUAAAAUACGAAGGAACCCCCACCUUCACUUGGCCUCGGGGGACUAAACUACCAAUGCCUUAGCAAAGGGACACAUUUCCUUCUUCUAAUCGCCUCUUCUGUGAGGUUUUGCUGUAGCUUUUUUUUUUUUUCUGCUGAACUUUUAAUAGGAAAUGUUUUAAUAGUUACUGUAGAAUUUCUAAUGGAUAUCUCAUGGGGAAAACGUCCAACACAAAACAAUACUUCGCCUCCUCACCGAACUGAACUCCUGAGGAAGAAAUCUCACUGUUCCAGCAGAGUGCGGACGGCUCGCUUUGGGGUGCAGGGUUCCCCGACAGUCUGGAGCGACCCUUCCCGCACAGAGGGGAACCCGACCCUCUCCCUCCCCCCCUUCCUCCUUUCUUCUUUCCUUCCUUUUUCUUUCUUGUUAAAAGUUGUUAAUGUACACAUACACGCGCGCACACAGGUCUUUUCCACGCGUGUGCCCCUUCUUUCUUGGCCCGUGCUUCCCGAUUUUGCUGGAAACGGAAAGAGAGGCUCGAGUGCAGGACAGUAAACCGGCAGUGUCCGGGACACUUGAUCUCCGUCCGAGCUGCACGUUCAAAGCCAAAAACCCCGGGCCACCCCAACUCCUGGCCCUCUUUGGGGCCGCUCCUGGACGGGACAGGGACCCAGGGACCCCAGAGGAGGAGCACUCCUAGAGCAACGCGGAGGUAGGAGACAGCGAGGGGCUUCGCCAGGCAACGGAUGUCCCCGUGCAGCUCGGCGGAAAAAUUGUUGGGGCUCUUGUGACAACCGAAGUAAAGUUAGAUAUUGAUAUUCAAGCUGUUAGGUUAUCAUUGGGGGGAGCUGUUUUGAAGAAGUUCAGAGCUUUCAAACUUGCUUUAAACAUAAAUUCUGUUUGGGGGAGCAGGAUCUGUCCCUUUUGUGAAAGGUCCCCAUGAAGCUCAGAUGUGCAAGGGAAGUUGUUGAGGACCACAUGAAUCCACUGAAAUAAGUGUGGAUAUAUGUUCAUGUGUUUGUGUGGACUAUACACACCUAGGU
ensembl:lncRNA